rnacentral:lncRNA from 1 species
CCCCGCGUUUUUUCAUUUUUUAGGGGGUAAAAGGGGGGUUGCGGGAUCAAAUGGUACUAAUCCUCUGGUUCUAGAGGAAGGAGGCCCUGGUAAUAUAGAGUUUGGCCGCGAGGUAAGUAAGCGCCAAAAAUUGUUCCAACCAGGAAUUAAACUCAGAUUCUCUCGAACUAUUUGUCCUAUAGAGAGCUCGUUAACCACUUGAGCUCAAUCACUUGGUUUGAGAGCCACCUUUUAAUGUCAAUUGUAAGGAGCAUUAUCAUAAGAUUUUUAACAUUUAUUUAAUUAGAGAAGUAAAACGUUAUUAUUAUGAUCAACACUUCAUUCCCAAUUUUUUGUACUAAAAAAUUUAACCUCUGAUGAGGAAAUUACCCAACAAGACCUUAAUGAAGCAAUCCAAGGUUUGGGAGGUCCAAUGACAAGGGAGCGAGCUAAGAAGGCUAAGGAAGGUUUAACUAACUUAAUAACCAACUUGAUGGGAGCAGAAGAAUAAAAGGACGAAAUAGAGUCAAGAAUUAUCAAUUUGAUCACGUCAAGUGAAGAUGGCAUUGAGACAGGGCAUGCUGCCCAAAUUUGAAGUUUUCUUAAUUUUUUAUUUCAUGUUGUAAUAAAAGUGUGAGGUCCAAAUUAUCUAAAUUAGACCAAAACACUUAGAAUAUUUUUAAUUUAUUUUGCUUGCCAAUUAUAAGCUUUUAAAGUUUUAAUUAGGCAAUUAGUGUGUUUAUUUUCUUGCAAAUAAAGAGCUGAGCAAGGGAGAGGAAAACAGGUGAGCAUGAGUGAAAUUACACAAGAAAACAGCUAGUUCACUCUUAAUGUGUGAUCAUACCUUCCUUAAUUGGCCACCAAGUGAAUAUUGGCUGGUCAAUGCUAAUUAUUAGCAAUAAUGAGCGAGAUUUGACUCAGUUUUUUAGCUUUUGUAAUUCUCUAUAUAAGGGGACGAAAAUCAAUGAAUAAAUGAGACUAUUAUGCAGAAUUUUACACUUUGUGUGAAUUGAGAGUAUUGUCUCUUUUUGGUUCUAGAUUGGACCAAGCUUUUGAUCUUAUCAAGAAACCAAGUUUCUUGUGGUGAUCCUCAUUUUGGCUUAUCAUCCUUUCUAAUCAAUAGAAAGAGUGUGGCGCCCCAUUUCUGACCUUUUCCACCCAUUCUUCACGUUAUUUCUAUGUUUCAUUAUGUCAUAACUAUAUUUUUAUAAGUAAUUUUCGUACUCCAUUUUACCUUUUCCAAAUACAAGCUUAAACUUCAUCAAAUAUUG